rnacentral:rRNA from 1 species
CCACGGGAGGCAGCAGUGAGGAAUAUUGGUCAAUGGCCGGAAGGCUGAACCAGCCAAGUCGCGUGAGGGACGACUGCCCUAUGGGUUGUAAACCUCUUUUAUCAGGGAAGAAUAAAUGCUACGUGUAGCAUGAUGCCUGUACCUUAUGAAUAAGCAUCGGCUAAAUCCGUGCCAGCAGCCGCGGUAAGACGUAGGAUGCGAGCGUUAUCCGGUUUUAUUGGUUUUAAAGGGUGCGUAGGCGGUUUUUUAAGUUUGUGGUUAAACGUCGGGGUGUAACCUUGAUUUGCCAUUAAUACUGUAGGACUCGAGUUCAGACGAGGUAGGCGGAAUAAGUGAAGUAGCGGUGAAAUGCUUAGAUAUAACUUAGAACUCCGAUAGCGAAGGCAGCUUACCAGACUGCGACUGACGCUGAAGCACGAGAGCGUGGGUAGCGAACAGGAUUAGAUACCCUAGUAGUC